GGAGGAGUAUCGAAGCGGUCCAACGAGCUUGCUUGGAAAGCAAGUGUGCGCAAGCACGCGCGAGUUCGAAUCUCGCCUCCUCCG
rnacentral:tRNA from 1 species